rnacentral:rRNA from 1 species
AUUGAACGCUGGCGGCAGGCCUAACACAUGCAAGUCGAGCGGAUGAAGGGAGCUUGCUCCUGGAUUCAGCGGCGGACGGGUGAGUAAUGCCUAGGAAUCUGCCUGGUCGUGGGGGAUAACGUCCGGAAACGGGCGCUAAUAUCGCAUACGUCCUGUGGGAGAAAGUGGGGGAUCUUCGGACCUCACGCUAUCAGAUGAGCCUAGGUCGGAUGAGCUAGUUGGUGGGGUAAAGGCCUACCAAGGCGACGAUGCGUAACUGGUCUGAGAGGAUGAUCAGUCACCCUGGAACUGAGACACGGUCCAGGCUCCUACGGGAGGCAGCAGUGGGGAAUAUUGGACGAUGGGCGAAAUCCUGAUCCAGCCAUGCCGGGUGGGUGAAGAAGGUCUUCGGGUUGUAAAGCACUUUAAGUUGGGAGGAAGGGCAUUAAGUUAAUACCUUGCUGUUUUGACGGUACCAACAGAAUAAGCACCGGCUAACUUCGUG